rnacentral:rRNA from 1 species
GACGAACGCUGGCGGCGUGCUUAACACAUGCAAGUCGAACGGAAAGGCCCUGCUUUUGUGGGGUGCUCGAGUGGCGAACGGGUGAGUAACACGUGAGUAACCUGCCCUUGACUUUGGGAUAACUUCAGGAAACUGGGGCUAAUACCGGAUAGGAGCUCCUGCUGCAUGGUGGGGGUUGGAAAGUUUCGGCGGUUGGGGAUGGACUCGCGGCUUAUCAGCUUGUUGGUGGGGUAGUGGCUUACCAAGGCUUUGACGGGUAGCCGGCCUGAGAGGGUGACCGGCCACAUUGGGACUGAGAUACGGCCCAGACUCCUACGGGAGGCAGCAGUGGGGAAUAUUGCACAAUGGGCGGAAGCCUGAUGCAGCAACGCCGCGUGCGGGAUGACGGCCUUCGGGAUGUAAACCGCUUUCGCCUGUGACGAAGCGUGAGUGACGGUAAUGGGUAAAGAAGCACCGGCUAACUACGUGCCAGCAGCCGCGGUGAUACGUAGGGUGCGAGCGUUGUCCGGAUUUAUUGGGCGUAAAGGGCUCGUAGGUGGUUGAUCGCGUCGGAAGUGUAAUCUUGGGGCUUAACCCUGAGCGUGCUUUCGAUACGGGUUGACUUGAGGAAGGUAGGGGAGAAUGGAAUUCCUGGUGGAGCGGUGGAAUGCGCAGAUAUCAGGAGGAACACCAGUGGCGAAGGCGGUUCUCUGGGCCUUUCCUGACGCUGAGGAGCGAAAGCGUGGGGAGCGAACAGGCUUAGAUACCCUGGUAGUCCACGCUGUAAACGGUGGGUACUAGGUGUGGGGUCCAUUCCACGGGUUCCGUGCCGUAGCUAACGCUUUAAGUACCCCGCCUGGGGAGUACGGCCGCAAGGCUAAAACUCAAAGGAAUUGACGGGGCCCCGCACAAGCGGCGGAGCAUGCGGAUUAAUUCGAUGCAACGCGUAGAACCUUACCUGGGUUUGACAUGGAUCGGGAGCGCUCAGAGAUGGGUGUGCCUCUUUUGGGGUCGGUUCACAGGUGGUGCAUGGCUGUCGUCAGCUCGUGUCGUGAGAUGUUGGGUUAAGUCCCGCAACGAGCGCAACCCUUGUUCACUGUUGCCAGCACGUUAUGGUGGGGACUCAGUGGAGACCGCCGGGGUCAACUCGGAGGAAGGUGGGGAUGACGUCAAGUCAUCAUGCCCCUUAUGUCCAGGGCUUCACGCAUGCUACAAUGGCUGGUACAGAGAGUGGCGAGCCUGUGAGGGUGAGCGAAUCUCGGAAAGCCGGUCUCAGUUCGGAUUGGGGUCUGCAACUCGACCUCAUGAAGUCGGAGUCGCUAGUAAUCGCAGAUCAGCAACGCUGCGGUGAAUACGUUCCCGGGGCU